UACCUGCAUGAAAAACAUUUAACCUGAUAACAGCAAUAUUAGGCAGAUUACCUAAAUCACAUGUGAAGGACAGCGCCACGGACUGAACGCGAUGUGCCAAAUCACGUUAAAAUCUCCUCCUCCAGCAGAUGAAGUGAACAAUGACGGCUCAGAGUUCGAGGGUGGGAAGAUGUUCAACCCAUUUUGAAAUGUGAUGUAACAUGUUCAAAAUCAAUAAAAUAAAACGUGAUAAUAAUGAA